rnacentral:rRNA from 1 species
UCGAGUGGCGAACGGGUGAGUAACACGUGGGUGAUCUGCCCUGCACUUUGGGAUAAGCCUGGGAAACUGGGUCUAAUACCGAAUAGGACCGCAUGCUUCAUGGUGUGUGGUGGAAAGCUUUUGCGGUGUGGGAUGGGCCCGCGGCCUAUCAGCUUGUUGGUGAGGUAAUGGCUUACCAAGGCGACGACGGGUAGCCGGCCUGAGAGGGUGACCGGCCACACUGGGACUGAGAUACGGCCCAGACUCCUACGGGAGGCAGCAGUGGGGAAUAUUGCACAAUGGGCGCAAGCCUGAUGCAGCGACGCCGCGUGAGGGAUGACGGCCUUCGGGUUGUAAACCUCUUUCGCCAGGGACGAAGCGCAAGUGACGGUACCUGGAGAAGAAGGACCGGCCAACUACGUGCCAGCAGCCGCGGUAAUACGUAGGGUCCGAGCGUUGUCCGGAAUUACUGGGCGUAAAGAGCUCGUAGGUGGUUUGUCGCGUUGUUCGUGAAAACUCACAGCUUAACUGUGGGCGUGCGGGCGAUACGGGCAGACUUGAGUACUGCAGGGGAGACUGGAAUUCCUGGUGUAGCGGUGGAAUGCGCAGAUAUCAGGAGGAACACCGGUGGCGAAGGCGGGUCUCUGGGCAGUAACUGACGCUGAGGAGCGAAAGCGUGGGGAGCGAACAGGAUUAGAUACCCUGGUAGUCCACGCCGUAAACGGUGGGUACUAGGUGUGGGUUUCCUUCCUUGGGAUCCGUGCCGUAGCUAACGCAUUAAGUACCCCGCCUGGGGAGUACGGCCGCAAGGCUAAAACUCAAAGAAAUUGACGGGGGCCCGCACAAGCGGCGGAGCAUGUGGAUUAAUUCGAUGCAACGCGAAGAACCUUACCUGGGUUUGACAUGCACAGGACGCCGGCAGAGAUGUCGGUUCCCUUGUGGCCUGUGUGCAGGUGGUGCAUGGCUGUCGUCAGCUCGUGUCGUGAGAUGUUGGGUUAAGUCCCGCAACGAGCGCAACCCUUGUCUCAUGUUGCCAGCACGUUAUGGUGGGGACUCGUGAGAGACUGCCGGGGUCAACUCGGAGGAAGGUGGGGAUGACGUCAAGUCAUCAUGCCCCUUAUGUCCAGGGCUUCACACAUGCUACAAUGGCCGGUACAAAGGGCUGCGAUGCCGUGAGGUGGAGCGAAUCCUUUCAAAGCCGGUCUCAGUUCGGAUCGGGGUCUGCAACUCGACCCCGUGAAGUCGGAGUCGCUAGUAAUCGCAGAUCAGCAACGCUGCGGUGAAUACGUUCCCGGGCCUUGUACACACCGCCCGUCACGUCAUGAAAGUCGGUAACACCCGA